rnacentral:rRNA from 1 species
UACGGAGGGGGCUAGCGUUGUUCGGAAUUACUGGGCGUAAAGCGCACGUAGGCGGCUUCGUAAGUUAGAGGUGAAAGCCCGGGGCUCAACCCCGGAAUUGCCUUUAAGACUGCAUCGCUUGAACGUCGGAGAGGUGAGUGGAAUUCCGAGUGUAGAGGUGAAAUUCGUAGAUAUUCGGAAGAACACCAGUGGCGAAGGCGGCUCACUGGACGACUGUUGACGCUGAGGUGCGAAAGCGUGGGGAGCAAACAGG